rnacentral:rRNA from 1 species
GAUGAACGCUGGCGGCGUGCCUAAUACAUGCAAGUCGAGCGGUAACACUUCGGGUGACGAGCGGCGGACGGCUGAGUAACGCGUAGGAACGUACCCCAAAGUGAGGGAUAAGCACCGGAAACGGUGUCUAAUACCGCAUGUGGUCUUCGGAUUAAAGCUUCGGCGCUUUGGGAACGGCCUGCGUAUGAUUAGCUUGUUGGUGAGGUAAAAGCUCACCAAGGCGACGAUCAUUAGCUGGUCUGAGAGGAUGAUCAGCCAGACUGGGACUGA